rnacentral:rRNA from 1 species
CUCGGAUCAGGUAGGGAUACCCGCUGAACUUAAGCAUAUCUA